rnacentral:tRNA from 1 species
UACGCCCUGCUGGAUUAACAGGCCAUCUUGAUGUGGUGGAACAAGGGGGGGGGCCCCCGGGCGUGG